rnacentral:rRNA from 1 species
GAUGAACGCUGGCGGCGUGCCUAACACAUGCAAGUCGAGCGUGAACCCUUAGAAUGAAACUUCGGUCGAAUGAAGAGGGGGAAAGCGGCGGACGGGUGAGUAACGCGUAGGCAACCUGCCCCGUACAGAGGGAUAGCCUCGGGAAACCGGGAUUAAGACCUCAUAACACCUUUUGUCCACAUGGAUGAGAGGUCAAAGAUUUUAUCGGUAUGGGAUGGGCCUGCGUCUGAUUAGCUGGUUGGUGGGGUAACGGCCUACCAAGGCAACGAUCAGUAGCCGACCUGAGAGGGUAAUCGGCCACAUUGGAACUGAGACACGGUCCAAACUCCUACGGGAGGCAGCAGUGGGGAAUAUUGCACAAUGGGCGAAAGCCUGAUGCAGCAACGCCGCGUGAGCGAAGAAGGCCUUUGGGUCGUAAAGCUCUGUCGGGAAGGAAGAUAAUGACGGUACUUCCCGAGGAAGCCCCGGCUAACUACGUG